rnacentral:rRNA from 1 species
CAGUCGAGCGGGGAAGGGUAGCUUGCUACCUGACCUAGCGGCGGACGGGUGAGUAAUGCUUAGGAAUCUGCCUAUUAGUGGGGGACAACAUUCCGAAAGGAAUGCUAAUACCGCAUACGCCCUACGGGGGAAAGCAGGGGAUCUUCGGACCUUGCGCUAAUAGAUGAGCCUAAGUCAGAUUAGCUAGUUGGUGGGGUAAAGGCCUACCAAGGCGACGAUCUGUAGCGGGUCUGAGAGGAUGAUCCGCCACACUGGGACUGAGACACGGCCCAGACUCCUACGGGAGGCAGCAGUGGGGAAUAUUGGACAAUGGGCGAAAGCCUGAUCCAGCCAUGCCGCGUGUGUGAAGAAGGCCUUUUGGUUGUAAAGCACUUUAAGCGAGGAGGAGGCUACUUGGAUUAAUACUCUAGGAUAGUGGACGUUACUCGCAGAAUAAGCACCGGCUAACUCUGUGCCAGCAGCCGCGGUAAUACAGAGGGUGCGAGCGUUAAUCGGAUUUACUGGGCGUAAAGCGUGCGUAGGCGGCUUUUUAAGUCGGAUGUGAAAUCCCUGAGCUUAACUUAGGAAUUGCAUUCGAUACUGGGAAGCUAGAGUAUGGGAGAGGAUGGUAGAAUUCCAGGUGUAGCGGUGAAAUGCGUAGAGAUCUGGAGGAAUACCGAUGGCGAAGGCAGCCAUCUGGCCUAAUACUGACGCUGAGGUACGAAAGCAUGGGGAGCAAACAGGAUUAGAUACCCUGGUAGUCCAUGCCGUAAACGAUGUCUACUA